rnacentral:rRNA from 1 species
UACAGAGGUGGCAAGCGUUGUUCGGAAUUACUGGGCGUAAAGGGCGCGUAGGCGGUUCGUUAAGUCCUGUGUGAAAUCCCCCGGCUCAACUGGGGAACUGCACAGGAAACUAGCGGGCUUGAGUUCGGGAGAGGGAAGCGGGAUUCCGGGUGUAGCGGUGAAAUGCGUAGAUAUCCGGAGGAACACCGGUGGCGAAGGCGGCUUCCUGGACCGACACUGACGCUGAGGCGCGAAAGCUAGGGGAGCAAACGGG